rnacentral:lncRNA from 1 species
CACAAGAAAAUAAUAUAAAAAAAUUGACCGCGGACUAAAAUCCAAGCAUCUUACAAAAUAUUUUAAACACUUCCAGCACUCACAGACUUGUCACCUCUUUUUAGCCAGUCUAUUAAACAAAGAUAAAACACCUGCGUUCUGGCGAUUCCUACUUUAGGCUGUGCAAGUGAUUUUGUAUCUCUCUCUAUCCCACUGAUUUUAAGAAUUACGGGGCCGUACCCAAAUAAAUUUUUGGGCAGUUUUUGUAUUACUUUCGACGUGUUUUUAAAGAGAUCUUUAAGGAUGGGUCUAUCGCCUUUAAAAUAGUUGUUGGAUGGGUCUAUCACCUUUAAUAGUUGGGAGGCCAUGUGAGGUUAUUAUUUGAUGUGUUUUGACUGUUUUGCCGGUUAUGCUUUUUACACGUUUAUGAAAGUAAAGAAUUUAGAAUUUGGCCUGUAUUCGUCUAAAUUUUUUGCAGUUUUUACUCUGAGGAAGUGUGUUUUUUUAUUUGUGUUUGUGGAUUUGUUUUGGUAUUAUACCUAAAGACCUUAAAAUGUUUCGACCCUGGGAAAAUAGGCAGGAAAAUUUGGCAAAUGAAGAGGAAAGUGUUUGUGCGGGCUUAUGGAGACCGUGGGUGUACAAGAAAGACAAUAACAUUUGUGAUAAAAACAAUAAGAGUGAUCUGGACAGUGAUUUAGACUUACAUAGUUCUGAUAGUUUAUUUUCUAGUAUCGAGGAAGCAAAAAGAAGCAAGAGAAGUAGAAGCUACAGAGGAAAUCAAGCAGUUUUAAAACGUAAUUGUUUAAGUACAGACGCCAAACAAAUUUAUCUAAAUAUCUAUAACAAUCUAAGGAAUGAUCCUCAGUUCACAAAUGUUUGUAGUGCUUUGCAAAAAACAGCGUUUUUAACAGGGGUUCCCUAUAAUACAAUAUGCCUGUAAAAAAAAGGAUUAAAGACAGAAUAAAAAGGAAAGAUGCAGGACAAUCAAAGGGACUUGACACGGAUAUUGCCAAAUUGCUAAGGAAAGGUGUGUAUUCUAAAUACAAAAACAAUGAGGUUCUGACCAUAGAGACAUGUCCAUGUUCUGACCAUAGAGACAUCGGCAAGGGACAAACAUUUCUCAGUCUCAACCUUGCGGAGAUACCUGAUAAAACUUGGAUUUAAGCUUAAGAUGGUUAACAUUAGAGCUGCUGUAAUGGAAUUGUCAGGUGGUGUAUAGAAUAUUUGAGGAAAAUUUAAAAAAAUUGGGAGGAAGAAAGAUCCAUAUAUUAUUUAGCCAAAACAUGAUAUAAUACAUUUAUGAUUGAUGUAUGAUUUCCAUUCUCUGGGAAAAAAGUCCCUUUUUUGUCAUAGUAAGAAAACCAUAUUUUUAUUAAUAAAACAAGUUUAAAAUUUUGUUUUUUACAGCUUACUGCCCCUGUUUGUCCUUCAGUGACACAAUAAAAACUGCUUCUUCCACCAUUCUCUGGAAAAUCUCUUUUUUGAUAUGCUUACUACCCCUGUUGUCCUUCAGCGACACAAUGAAGACUGCUUCUUCCUCUAUUCUCUGGAAAAAAGUCCCUUUUUUGCCAUACUUACUGCCCCUGUUUGUCCUUCAGCGACACAAUAAAGUAUAUAUAAUGUAAUGCUUUAGUAUCCAUAUGCUGAUGUGCGAUAUGAAGUUGGAAUCUAUGGCAGCAACAGAGAAACUGUUUCCUUUCUUAAUGGAAGAAACUGCUAAAGAACAAUGGCAAAAAAACAGAAUUUAAAAAAUUGUAUUAACUUUUUGGGUCAGAUUCAAA